UUAGUGAUAUACUAGGAGUUUACAUGGAGCUCUGUCUAUUGGAGUGGUUACUGGAGCUUAGUGAUAUACUAUGAGUUUACAUGGAGCUCGGUCUAUUGGAGAGGUUACUAGAGCUUAGUGAUAUACUAGGAGUUUACAUGGAGCUCUGUCUAUUGGAGUGGUUACUGGAGCUUAGUGAUAUACUAUGAGUUUACAUGGAGCUC